GACGAACGCUGGCGGCGUGCUUAACACAUGCAAGUCGAACGGAAAGGCCCUGCUUUUGUGGGGUGCUCGAGUGGCGAACGGGUGAGUAACACGUGAGUAACCUGCCCUUGACUUUGGGAUAACUUCAGGAAACUGGGGCUAAUACCGGAUAGGAGCUCCUGCUGCAUGGUGGGGGUUGGAAAGUUUCGGCGGUUGGGGAUGGACUCGCGGCUUAUCAGCUUGUUGGUGGGGUAGUGGCUUACCAAGGCUUUGACGGGUAGCCGGCCUGAGAGGGUGACCGGCCACAUUGGGACUGAGAUACGGCCCAGACUCCUCCGGGAGGCAGCAGUGGGGAAUAUUGCCCAAUGGGCGGAAGCCUGAUGCAGCAACGCCGCGUGCGGGAUGACGGCCUUCGGGUUGUAAACCGCUUUCGCCUGUGACGAAGCGUGAGUGACGGUAAUGGGUAAAGAAGCACCGGCUAACUACGUG
rnacentral:rRNA from 1 species